UACGUAGGGUGCGAGCGUUGUCCGGAAUUAUUGGGCGUAAAGAGCUCGUAGGCGGUUUGUCGCGUCGACUGUGAAAACCUACAGCUUAACUGUGGGCUUGCAGUCGAUACGGGCAGACUUGAGUUCGGUAGGGGAGACUGGGAUUCCUGGUGUAGCGGUGAAAUGCGCAGAUAUCAGGAGGAACACCGGUGGCGAAGGCGGGUCUCUGGGCCGAUACUGACGCUGAGGAGCGAAAGCGUGGGGAGCGAACAGG
rnacentral:rRNA from 1 species